rnacentral:rRNA from 1 species
GACGAACGCUGGCGGCGUGCUUAACACAUGCAAGUCGAACGGAAAGGCCCUGCUUUUGUGGGGUGCUCGAGUGGCGAACGGGUGAGUAACACGUGAGUAACCUGCCCUUGACUUUGGGAUAACUUCAGGAAACUGGGGCUAAUACCGGAUAGGAGCUCCUGCUGCAUGGUGGUGGUUGGAAAGUUUCGGCGGUUGGGGAUGGACUCGCGGCUUAUCAGCUUGUUGGUGGGGUAGUGGCUUACCAAGACUUUGACGGGUAGCCGGCCUGAGAGGGUGACCGGCCACAUUGGGACUGAGAUACGGCCCAGACUCCUACGGGAGGCAGCAGUGGGGAAUAUUGCACAAUGGGCGGAAGCCUGAUGCAGCAACGCCGCGUGCGGGAUGACGGCCUUCGGGUUGUAAACCGCUUUCGCCUGUGACGAAGCGUGAGUGACGGUAAUGGGUAAAGAAGCACCGGCUAACUACGUG